CACCGCCGGGGCUCCCCCCGGCCGCACGGCGUGAGGGCUCCAGCACCGCCGGGGCUCCCCCCGGCCGCACGGCGUGAGGGCUCCAGCACCGCCACCCCGCUGGGGAACACACUGCAGAAAACACGUGAGCACACGCAGUCAAGAAUCUGGUUUUCCUUGGAAUGAAACUGUUCCUUUCACCUGUGUGAUGGGCAUGAAAGAAGUCUUCAUCUGAGUUUUUCAUAUUCCACCCCCUUCCCACCCUCCACCAUACCAGCUCUGUAAAGAAUAAAAGGAAUGAGACUGGAGAGAAACCGUCCUGGAAAGGAGGGAUGUGAGAUUUCACUUUAUUUUUCCCUUGGGACAAAACUGAAGGUGUGACUUGAGCUGAGAUCACCACAAAGAGCAACAGAAAGUCCAGCCUUAGGCUGAGCUAAUUUCACCUCAGGAAAGGCAUCCACCAAAUUAUAAAAGCAAGGAGCCAUUGUAAGGACAUCUUUCCCUGAGUCUCAUGAAGUGCUUUACCUGAACUUACAAUACUCUUGAAAUCAGCUUUAGGCCAAACAUAGCUCACAUAAAUUGUAAUUUUCCAUCCAAAAUUAACACGGUUGUUGUUGCCUGGUAGGGAUGUCAAAGGCAGUGUGAAUCUGCCUUUCAAGUCUGAGUCAUUGUGACAGGCCACACAGUCACUGCUUCUAGUUCUGAGGACAAAGACCUUUAGUUCUGAAGAGAAAGACCUUGCGUGUUUUCCAUCUAGUCCAAACCCUUCCGAUGACAUUCCUACGGAGACGUAACCUUGGGGAAAAUAUGGCUGUGUGGGCAGCAGCCCUUUUCAAUUCUAAUUCUUAAAAAGUAUUUCUGUCAUAAGAAAUCAAUCCUUCAUGGAGACGGCUGAUCAAGCCUCAGUUUUCAGAGAUUAAUACAGCUAUCCAGCAUCCAGGCAGGAGUUUGUAGUGCCAGUGUGGGUAGUCCUGCUGGGCAGGCUGUGCCAUGAACAGUUGGCUUGGUUGGUGGCUGGGCACUGUGGCACUGAUAAAGCUGCACUUUCACCUAUGGAAAGAACUUCAAAGCCAAAACCUCACGGACUUUAACAGUAAGUUAAUUUUGUAGUCCCACAUCUGUGUUUUAGAUGUGCAGGUUUACACAAAGCCUGAAAGCUAUCAUCUCACUGAUCAAUGAAAUCAGACACUGGUUCAUGUAGUGAAAAUGUGCCAAAAAGGAAGAACCUGUUGCCAGUACAAAGUUUUAUCAGACAAGGAUGACACAAGGUGACAUUUUUCUCCCUUCAGGUGCAACCUGAGUCAGUGGCAGAGUAACAGAUCCACUCUGCUGUUAUCCAGAGAUCUCAUCUUCCCAAUCUUCUGUAUCAAGUUCUUACCUCAUGUAACUCAACACUAUAAGUAAGAAAUUUAAGGUACCCAGCAGCCCAAUGUCAUGGCAGAGGUAGAGGAUGAGAUGAUUGAAAAACCAGGAGGUUAUGAUUAUGAACAGGAAACCUUACCAGGUUAUCCAAAUGCUACAUGGAAUUUUUAAUUUAAAACUCUUAUUGAUGCUGAUUUUCCAGGUAAGAAAAAAGGCUUAAUCAAGCCUGAGUACUUCACUUUAGAGGUGAACCUCUGCUACAUUCUGGAGUGGAGAAGCUGAGGAGAACAGGUGGGGUUUGUUACAGCCUAAAUUCUACUGUUACUUUUCAGAAUAUCCUUACAGCUUAAAGCAAGCUUGCCAUGAGCACAUUACUGAAAGAGCCAGUAUAUAUUGCCCUGCCCAGUUUCCUUCUCAGAAUAAUUAAUCUGAACCUGAUUCAGCUGCAGGACAACCCAGAUCCAUUAAAAAAAAUAAAAUAAUAAAUAAAAAAAAAGGUUUAGUCAUGGAAUACUUCUGCAUGUCUCAGCGGCAGGGUACAAGGAUUGCUCAGCACCAUUCCUCCUAUUUGAAAUUCAGCUCAUCACCUCACUAUUACUCAGUGUCAUGGUAACAAUUUAGCACAGCCACACAGCCCUUGCAGACCUUGCAUGUUCUGGUGUUCCCCCCAGCCCCAUUGUAAUACACACACACAAACACUCAAAUCAAGGCCUCCCAACUUUCUUUCAACUAAACAUUAUUUUAAAUAAAUAAAUAAAUAAAUAAAACCAAGUUUUGGCCACACCUAAUACUGCAUGAAUAUUCAGAGAUUAAAACACAAAGGUCUGUAGAAGUUCCUGCAAGCAGAAAAAAGCAAAUCCCGCCAAAUCAGUAAUCUUUUCAGACUGUUGGCAUUUUAUUUUCAAUGCAUGCUCAUCUGAGAGCUUCAGGUGUCUGUUUUCAACAAUGGUUAUUAACCAGUGAUCAUUUUACACUAAACUACAAAUUGUUGGGCUUUUUAAAUAUAAAUGAAAAAGUGUAUGUCAUCUGUUAAUUUAUUUUUUUUAUUAAAUGUGUUUAACAAAAACAGUGGAUUUUUUUAAAUGCAGGGGGAAAAAACUCAAAACAAAAACCAAAACCCCCACAUGCUUAGAGCAGAACUGUGUCUGUCCCAGACAGCUUUCGUCUAAUUAAUAAACAGACUAAGCAACUCUGAAGAGUGCUGUGUCUGCUUAUGCCACCAGAUGUUUUGCCUGUAUAAAAAUAGUACUAUAAACAAAUGUAAAAUUUGCUGCAGUCUCCAGGAGAAGAAAACCUACCAGUAAUAUUCUGAAGGGCAUUCAAAAGCUAAAUGAUGUGUUUGAAAAUGCACUGUCAUUUGCAGGUAGCUGCUGAGUAGAGGAUAUGGGUGGUCAAUAGGUAUUUCUUGUACGUUCUUCAGUCAAGGAUGCAUUGGGUUUCUCCACUAUAAAGUUUUUACAUUCUUUGCUCUGUUAUCAAUGCUUUACACUCCCACUAGUUUUAUGUGAUGUAACUAACAUCACAAAAAUACUGAUACCGUUUCACAGUCUAUGGCCAUGUCAGUUUAUCCUCUAAUGAGAUUUUAUCCUGGAGAAUACAGCUGUGCACAUAAAAGCAGCUUAGGAAAAGGAACCGGAAACAACUUCAAUCAUGGUAUUGAAAGCCUUAAAUUGGAACAAAAUUUAAAAGCAGAAUUUCAGCUUAGGGGAAUGCCUUGACCUGAACUGAAGAAGCAGAGACAUACCCUGCCUCCUUCCUCCAAAGAUCCAGCCUGUUUUUGUGGGCUAAGCUCUGUCAUUAUCCAAACGGUUUGUAUUUAAAGAAAACCCAAAACAGAAACAACCAAACCUCUCUCUCUUCCAUCCAAAGGGUUUAUCUAAUGUUUCUUUGCACUUGAAAGGAAAACUUUAAAAGUGCAGCAGAAAACACAAAUAUAUUAAAUUCAGGAGUGGCUUAAUUUUGAUGCAGGGCAGGGGAGGGAAGGGUGGAUUUUUACACCACUCUCAAGUAACAUCUAGAGGGUCUCAACGCCAGCAGUGUCAAAUUUAAGCCACCUUGUUCUGCAAGAUCCUGCUCACACCAUCACAAAACGGGAUAUAAACUAGCCUCAAGUGUAACUGGUGGUCUUGUUUCAGGAAAUUACAUGAAUUAGCAUUAUUUUCGCAUGCUGUAAAUCGAUCUUU